GGGGGGGGGGGGGGGGGGGCUGGGCGCGGGGAGGGCGGGGGGCGGGGGGGCGUGCGGGCGGGCGGCGCGCGGCGGACGGGUGGGUAAUGCGUCGGGACAUGUCCGGUCGUGGGGGCUAACACUUCGACAGAAGUGCUCAUACUGCACACGUUCUGAGGGGGAACGCGGGGGAUCGCAAGACCUCUCGCCAUUGUAGUGGCCGAUGUCCCAUUAGCUCGUUGGUGUGGUAAAGGCCUACCCAGGCGACGAUAUGUAGCUGGUCUGAGAGGAUGAGCUGCAACACUGGGACUGAGGCACGGACCAGACUCCUACGGGAGGCAGCAGUGGGGAAUUUUGGACAAUGGGGGCAAGCCUGAUCCAGCCAUUCCGCGUGAGUGAAGAAGGCCUUCGGGUUGUAAAGCUCUUUCGGCGGGAACGAAACGGUGGGCGCUAACAUAGUCCGAUUAUGACGGUACCUGAAGAAGAAGCACCGGCUAACUACGUA
rnacentral:rRNA from 1 species